GUCCUCCUUUUUUCACAAGGGAAGGGAAGAUGUUGCACAGGGUGAACAGUUCAAAACAGUUCAUAAAGUAUAUUUAAAUGUCUAGUGCUGACCAGCUGAUAGCUGCAAAAACACAAGGAAAUGAGUAAUAAAAAUUACCUAUUAACUCAGCUGAACAGUUACACCUCUUUCAACCUUUGCUCAAAAUGCUUCCAUUGUGAUGCACUGCGCAAUGUAAAUAUGAUCAUCAAAAAUAACAAAAAAGGCUGAAAUAUUGGAUUGUACCAAGCAACAGACAGGGCAUCAUGGGGAACAUACACCACAGAGUUAAUAUGGUUCUGGUUACCUAUUUAGUUAUGGCAAUGUCUGCACAUGAAUGUUUGAAUUCUCAAGACGACCAAGCAACUGUUUCAACAGAUUUUACACCGAAAAGUACUUCAGAUGAACCAAACGCCACAGAAUCAACAGGAAUCACUGAAGUCCACUCUGCCUGGCCCAUUGUGCUCGGUAUUUUGACAGCAUUGCUUUCCAUCGGCCUCCUGAUAGCACUGGCCGUGAGGUACCGCUUCAUCCGAUGGUGCCUGGCCAGAAACAGUCGCGCUUUAUUACUGGAGGGAGAAACAGCCAAUCAGUUCGGCCAAGCUGGAGAUCUGGGAGGGACAGAUGCCAGUGCGUGGCAUGAGGGGUAGGAUGAUCCAGAGAGGAGAAAGUUCAGAUGAUGAUGAUGAUGGAUUCAUCGAGGACAACUACAUCCAGGCAAACGAGAGAGAGAAAGCAGAAGAAGAGGAAAUCCAACAGGAAGAUACUGAGGAGAGUGAUGAUGAAUUGUUAAUUCCAGACAGUAUACAAAGUGAUUUUACCCACACACUGUAUGUGCACUAGAGUGACCAUCAGCUUCUUGGUCACCAACUCCAACUCCACUUGGUUAAAUCAUUUCUGUUUUUUUAUUUCUAAUAAAUUUGCAAAGUUGUUACAAACCUGUUUUGUCAUUAUAGUGUGUGGAGUGUAAGUAAUUUUAAACAGUUUAACGUUUGCAACAUAAAUUGUGGAAAAAAAUGGGGUGUGAAUACUUUCACAAGGCACUGAAGCAGUCAGUUCAUUAAAGAAAUAUUUUGGUUUUAAUAAAAGUGAAGUUCAGUCUACAACAUUAUGUGGCAUAAUGUUCAGAACUUCAAAAUUUAUAUUG